GUGGCGAACGGGUGAGUAACACGUGGGUAACCUGCCCAGAAGUAGGGGAUAACACCUGGAAACAGAUGCUAAUACCGUAUAACAGAGAAAACCGCAUGGUUUUCUUUUAAAAGAUGGCUCUGCUAUCACUUCUGGAUGGACCCGCGGCGUAUUAGCUAGUUGGUGAGGUAAAGGCUCACCAAGGCAGUGAUACGUAGCCGACCUGAGAGGGUAAUCGGCCACAUUGGGACUGAGACACGGCCCAGACUCCUACGGGAGGCAGCAGUAGGGAAUCUUCCACAAUGGACGCAAGUCUGAUGGAGCAACGCCGCGUGAGUGAAGAAGGGUUUCGGCUCGUAAAGCUCUGUUGUUAAAGAAGAACGUGGGUAAGAGUAACUGUUUACCCAGUGACGGUAUUUAACCAGAAAGCCACGGCUAACUACGUGCCAGCAGCCGCGGUAAUACGUAGGUGGCAAGCGUUAUCCGGAUUUAUUGGGCGUAAAGCGAGCGCAGGCGGUCUUUUAAGUCUAAUGUGAAAGCCUUCGGCUCAACCGAAGAAGUGCAUUGGAAACUGGGAGACUUGAGUGCAGAAGAGGACAGUGGAACUCCAUGUGUAGCGUGAAAUGCGUAGAUAUAUGGAAGAACACCAGUGGCGAAGGCGGCUGUCUGGUCUGCAACUGACGCUGAGGCUCGAAAGCAUGGGUAGCGAACAGGAUUAGAUACCCUGGUAGUCCAUGCCGUAAACGAUGAUUACUAAGUGUUGGAGGGUUUCCGCCCUUCAGUGCUGCAGCUAACGCAUUAAGUAAUCCGCCUGGGGAGUACGACCGCAAGGUUGAAACUCAAAAGAAUUGACGGGGGCCCGCACAAGCGGUGGAGCAUGUGGUUUAAUUCGAAGCUACGCGAAGAACCUUACCAGGUCUUGACAUCUUCUGACAGUCUAAGAGAUUAGAGGUUCCCUUCGGGGACAGAAUGACAGGUGGUGCAUGGUUGUCGUCAGCUCGUGUCGUGAGAUGUUGGGUUAAGUCCCGCAACGAGCGCAACCCUUAUUACUAGUUGCCAGCAUUAAGUUGGGCACUCUAGUGAGACUGCCGGUGACAAACCGGAGGAAGGUGGGGACGACGUCAAAUCAUCAUGCCCCUUAUGACCUGGGCUACACACGUGCUACAAUGGAUGGUACAACGAGUCGCGAGACCGCGAGGUUAAGCUAAUCUCUUAAAACCAUUCUCAGUUCGGACUGUAGGCUGCAACUCGCCUACACGAAGUCGGAAUCGCUAGUAAUCGCGGAUCAGCAUGCCGCGGUGAAUACGUUCCCGGGCCUUGUACACACCGCCCGUCACACCAUGAGAGUUUGUAACACCCAAAGCCGGUGGGGUAACCUUUUAGGAGCUAGCCGUCUAAGGUG
rnacentral:rRNA from 1 species